CCCAGUAAACUCUCACCGGAGCGUAUUCGUUCUCUCUGUCUCCGCCUCUCUCUCUCUCGGGCUUCACUUGACAGUUUGUUCAAUCUCGAAGAUGUCGUUGACGGAGCUAGACGACGGACUGGUACGCAGGAUGGCCAUCGGAGCAGUCUUCUCUGAUUUCGGAGGGAAGAUACGUUCGUUAGGUUUCCAUAGGACUGAUGAUCUACUAGUAACAUCGAGCGAGGAUGAUUCACUACGCCUCUUCGAUAUCGCCAACGCUAAACAGGUGAAGAUAACAUACCAUAAGAAACAUGGUACCGAUCGUGUAUGCUUUACUCAUCAUCCCAGCUCUCUUAUCUGCUCUUCUCUUUACAAUCUUGAGUCCACUGGAGAAUCUUUGAGAUAUCUCUCAAUGUACGACAAUCGGAUUCUUCGUUACUUUAAAGGGCACAAAGACAGGGUUGUAUCCCUUUGUAUGUCUCCUAUUAAUGAUAGCUUCAUGUCUGGUUCUCUCGACCGAAGUGUCCGACUCUGGGAUCUUCGUGUUAAUGCCUGCCAGGGAAUUCUACACCUACGUGGGAGACCUGCAGUAGCUUAUGACCAACAAGGCCUGGUCUUUGCAAUUGCAAUGGAAGGAGGUGCUGUUAAAUUGUUUGAUUCCAGAUGUUAUGACAAGGGUCCCUUUGAUACGUUUCUGGUGGGUGGUGAUACUGCUGAGGUCAAUGAUAUAAAAUUCAGCAACGAUGGAAAAUCUAUGCUUCUUACUACCACAAAUAACAAUAUCUAUGUUCUUGAUGCUUAUCAUGGAGAGAAGAAAUGCGGUUUUAGUUUGGAGGCUUCACAGGGUACAUCCAUUGAAGCCACCUUCACACCAGAUGGCAAGUAUGUUCUGUCAGGUUCAGGAGAUGGAACCUUACAUGCGUGGAACAUCGAGAACCCAUCUGAGGUGGCGAGGUGGGAGAACAACAUAGGAGUAGUGUCGUGUCUGAAAUGGGCACCGCGUAGAGCAAUGUUCGUUGCUGCCUCCUCGGUUCUCACUUUUUGGAUCCCCAACGACGGUGAGGCACCAGCCCCCGCUGAUCCUCCUGCCGACCAACAAACUCCUCAGUGACGACUUCAUUGGAAGCUCGACGAUCAUCUACCAUCGUACCUUCUUCAAAUGGAGUUAAAAAAUAGACACGGAAAUUCUCAGAGACAGAGAGUAUUCGUUUACAUCAUCAUGAGGUGGUAACGAUGAGAGAUCAGCUGGAGAAGAAAGAGUGAGAUCCGAAAUUUUCAAGUCAGACAUUGAGGAGACAGAGCAAGAGAUCCACGUCGACAAAAAGAGAGAUUGUAGAAGAAGAUAGAGAGUAAAAAGUCUGGCAAUAGCGAUGCUAAGCAUGAUGUAAUAGUAUUACAGGGAUGGUUCCCGAGAUAGGCUUGCUCAGCUGCAAUGUGGCUUCUCAUCAUUCACAUGCUCUGCUGGCCAUGAAGAUAAUGCAGAGGGUGUUGUAAGGCAGUUCGUUGCAACUUGAUCAUUCAUCCUAGCAAAUUCUCAACAUGUUAUCCUUUUUGUCUAUGUGUGCUAGGUACCGUGUCUAGAAGACAUUGUUGGCAGCACUGUGACCUUCCAAGCUCUCUCCAUUCAACUUCGCUUCUAGACAUCAUAGAUUCACUCUCUGGUAUUUCCGAAAGCCACCAGCGGCCCCCUACUUUCAUUUGAGAAUCACCGUAGUGAUGAGCACCCUGGUGAUGACAUGCUUGGUGAUGGCUCUUUGAAAAAAACUCCUCACGAUUUGAACAGUCCUCACCUUAACCAAAGUGGCUGCAAUGGUGAUUCUAAUUUUGAGGGCGAGAGAGCAGUGAGAUAUGUUUCAUGUUAGACCCAUGACACUGACAAUAACACUGAAGAAUAGUAACUAGCUAAACGAGGAUGGGCCUUCCAGCAAGAAAAUGCUUAAAGACUAAAAUUCCAAGCCCUCGAGUGAAUGUUCACACGAUACUGAAACUGAUAGAAUCUAGGAUUCUGUUACUGACAAAAUUUGUUUAGAUUUGUUUCAGUCUAAUCUGACCCCUGUAAGUGCCUAUCAAACACGGCUUUAUAUAGUCUGUUAAUAAUAACAAAGCCUUCAAGAGAAAUACUUUCAC